UAUUAAUCGUAUUCAACGUCUGGGCCGCCUGUGGUUUCAGCGAAGCGUCCGAAAUUUUUGUCCAAAAUCUGUCUGAAAUGAGACAACAGUGCACGAAAAUUAAACAUCGAAAUAAAACGUCCGGAAUUUUAAUCAGCGUCCGAAGUUUUUCUAAGUAGUGUGAGUAGUGUAACCGCCGUGAAUAUUGCUAUGUUGGCUCACCGUCUGAUUUCUCCUAGAGGUGUCUAUGUUAGCGCUAACAAAAGGUUUCACUGCCUCUAGAAACGAGUUGGAUUUUGAUGAACCUCGAUCUUUCAAUAUAGGUAUGAGAAAAUUAACCAUAUUAUAUCGGUAAAUAUCUUGUCCAUCUUUGAAUGGCUAAUCCACGGGAGAGCUUUUAAUUCAUAUAUGAUUUGGCUGUUGUGGUGACUUCAGUUGUUAUUACUCGAUGUUUCCCGAGUGCAAUUUUCGUUGUUUUGUGGUGUCCUUUCACGGCAGUCUUGAAACGUUCGCAGAAAAAAUAAUCAGUUGCAAUUAGUAUCUAGGCAUUCAAGUUUGGCAAAAAAAGUCACAUGUAUGGGAUUUGUUCGUUCGUAGUUUGAAUGUCGCAAAGGACUUCACAUGUGCCUGAAAUAAAGAUGGAGCGCUAGCGCUCAGUAUAUAAACAAACCAAGAGGGAAAGGUCUCCUGAGAUGUUUAAGCAAUGGGCUAAAUAUACCUGUAAGCUUCCUUGUGUUUGUUUGUUUUGUUUGGCGUUGCAGGUAAUCGGGCCGAUUAAACAAUUUUGGAAAAUAUCCAGUUAAACGAUCCUAUCUUAAAGGUCAAAGUUUGGGCUGUCAACAUUUAGACAAGUGGCACGCGAGUUUUAAAGGAAUAGUAUUUAAGUUAUAUUGUAAUUAAUAGCCUCUUAAACAGUGCGAUUAAAAUAGCAUUGGGUAUUUGACGACCUUCUCGAAUGUUUAUUACGCAAACCGAAUCUAUUCUUAAAUAGGGCAUUGAUAUUUGGAAGAGCUUUAAGAUAAGGUUGAACUAGAGUAAGGGUAGUCGCACCCUUCACCCACAUUUUUGUGCCGUGCGUCUCCCACGACGUUUUAAUCAUCUAGAUCAGUGUAAACUGACACAGUGCUGACACAGGCGGAACGGCCUGAGGGAACAACGAUUUGUUGUAUUGGGGUAGUUGUUUCGUCUACCGACGCUUAUAUCUCUUAGUGACACGCUUCCAUUUAUUUGCAAAUCAGUAAGUCUGGCCCUGAUAAUUCCGGAAACGAUAAACUGUUUCUUUCGAUGACCCCUGACAGUAUCAAAGCCGGAGCGUAAAGCAAAAGAUAUCAGAACGCCAUCUUGGCUGAAGGGGAAGUAUUUGCCGAAAUUUUCGUGGAGGCCUGUUGUCUUCAUCACUGUGGAACACUGAAGCAUUGCUUUCGCUCGGGGAUUUGAAUAGCUGCACAGUCGGAAAAAAGGUAUGUUAAUCUACUAAGCAGUGACAGACGGUCAAACCAACUGACAGACGAUCGCAUCACUUACAACGAGAAACAAAUUGUCAGAUAUAUGCACGCAAUGGAGGUAGGUCAUAAAAUUGAUUCAAUGAAGAACACAUCAUACUUUAUUGUCGUCUUGUUCCAGAAUACUAGAUAAGAGUCAACGACGUUUAAAAAUAAUUAUGACUCAGCUCAGUAAAGAAGUGGAUUGGCAAAAUAAGUCAUAAACGUCACAUUCUUUUUAAUCACACUGUUUUGUUUGUUUGUUUGCUUGUGUUUGUUUUUCUGCCCUCAAGAAUAGCGUUUAACACUGAUAUCUCGUUUUGCAACUCAAGUAACUCAAGACUUGUUAGUUUUUCAUUUUGCACAGUACUAACGUAACUGCGUGCAAACAAAAUUAAGUACCAAGUAAAAACUGAUCUCCGAUCUGACAACGACAACAUUCACUUCGUAAGGGUCUUUUUCCGGGGGAAGGGGGGGUGGGGGGGGGUUCGGCUUUACGGUUGUUUUGGAUAUUUUUUUAGUUGCUUCUAGAAUCUAGGGCGGCCCAUGCUGAAUUGUAUCAAGCUGCAAGUUAUUCAAGUUACCAAUAAGUUAAGGUUAUUCAAGAUAAAAAUUAAAAUAGGGUAAAUUAUGGUUUGAUAAACUUAGUUCUAGCUACUUAAUCAUGUCCCUCAUUUAUUUUUGGUUGACCUUUUCGUUAUCGCGAAGCACUAAAGUUGGAUAUGGACAUGCGAAAUGUAACUAAACAACGAAAGCUUGAUGUGGAGGCAUGGGGUCUGCAGACAAUUAUUUAUGAGGUAUUUCGGUAACUUCUGUCUUGAAUUGCGGUAUUGUGGAAUAUUUCAAACCUGCAAGAACUCAUCCCCCAAGUUACAGACUGAAAGAUGUUCAUUCCAUCACGUAAUUUAACUGAUGGGUAAUUUGAUCCAACAAAUAUUUGGGCGGUAAAUAGUUCUAUGGUCUAGUAAAUUUACAAUUAGGCUGUUUUAACAACCAGUCAGAGGUCGUGUAAUUGUUUUCGCACACAGCUUCGUGUCGUCGUGUGAGUGUCUUCGCACGUGGCCUCGUGUCGUUUUGCCGGUUAUGUAAGCUAAUUAUGAUAUGGCGGUAUUUGCCGCUUUUUUUUUGGAGCGGCUCGGCCCCCGGUAAUGCCCCCUUCUUUGAUCACGGGAGCAACGGUAGUAAAAUCUGCAUUUUAUCAACAAUCUCGUCACAUCCAUUUGCUUGAGGAAAACAACAUACCGGUGAACAAAAUUCAGAGAAACGUAUAUUUAUCUAUUUGCGUUCCAAGCAGAAACGGCCCUCCACAAUUAUUCGUAGAACGGACUGUAUUUGUUAAUAAGGAAAAAGACUUACAUUUCGAUGACCACAGGCCCUGCUGCAUGUGCUGCACAUGGAUGGUGUGCCGACAGCUCUCUUAACGACUGCUUCCUUCUUUCGAGAUCCACUUUGACGCGAAUGUAAAGGUGUUGGAUCAACAUGUACUCGAUUGGCGAGCCGUUGCUGAUGACUUGUAGCCAGUAAAUCUUGUUCAACGGCUGUUAAACGUGAAUCUAACCGAUGUAAAGAAUAGCACA